rnacentral:rRNA from 2 species
AAAUCGUACCCCAAACCGACACAGGUGGUCAGGUAGAGAAUACCAAGGCGCUUGAGAGAACUCGGGUGAAGGAACUAGGCAAAAUGGUGCCGUAACUUCGGGAGAAGGCACGCUGGUGUGUAGGUGAAGCCCCUGCGGGUGGAGCUGAGACCAGUCGAAGAUACCAGCUGGCUGCAACUGUUUAUUAAAAACACAGCACUGUGCAAACACGAAAGUGGACGUAUACGGUGUGACGCCUGCCCGGUGCCGGAAGGUUAAUUGAUGGGGUUAUCCGUAAGGAGAAGCUCUUGAUCGAAGCCCCGGUAAACGGCGGCCGUAACUAUAACGGUCCUAAGGUAGCGAAAUUCCUUGUCGGGUAAGUUCCGACCUGCACGAAUGGCGUAAUGAUGGCCAGGCUGUCUCCACCCGAGACUCAGUGAAAUUGAACUCGCUGUGAAGAUGCAGUGUACCCGCGGCAAGACGGAAAGACCCCGUGAACCUUUACUAUAGCUUGACACUGAACAUUGAGCCUUGAUGUGUAGGAUAGGUGGGAGGCUUUGAAGCGUGGACGCCAGUCUGCGUGGAGCCAACCUUGAAAUACCACCCUUUAAUGUUUGAUGUUCUAACGUUGGCCCCUGACCGGGGUUGCGGACAGUGUCUGGUGGGUAGUUUGACUGGGGCGGUCUCCUCCCAAAGCGUAACGGAGGAGCACGAAGGUUAGCUAAUCCUGGUCGGACAUCAGGAGGUUAGUGCAAUGGCAUAAGCUAGCUUGACUGCGAGCGUGACGGCGCGAGCAGGUGCGAAAGCAGGUCAUAGUGAUCCGGUGGUUCUGAAUGGAAGGGCCAUCGCUCAACGGAUAAAAGGUACUCCGGGGAUAACAGGCUGAUACCGCCCAAGAGUUCAUAUCGACGGCGGUGUUUGGCACCUCGAUGUCGGCUCAUCACAUCCUGGGGCUGAAGUAGGUCCCAAGGGUAUGGCUGUUCGCCAUUUAAAGUGGUACGCGAGCUGGGUUUAGAACGUCGUGAGACAGUUCGGUCCCUAUCUGCCGUGGGCGCUGGAGAAUUGAGGGGGGCUGCUCCUAGUACGAGAGGACCGGAGUGGACGCAUCACUGGUGUUCGGGUUGUCAUGCCAAUGGCACUGCCCGGUAGCUAAAUGCGGAAGAGAUAAGUGCUGAAAGCAUCUAAGCACGAAACUUGCCCCGAGAUGAGUUCUCCCUGAGACUUUAAGUCUCCUGAAGGAACGUUAAAGACGAUGACGUUGAUAGGCCGGGUGUGUAAGCGCAGCGAUGCGUUGAGCUAACCGGUACUAAUGAACCGUGAGGCUUAACCUU